CGUGAAGCCGACUAACAUGCAAGUCGAGCGGAAACGACUUAACUGAACCUUCGGGGGAACGUUAAGGGCGUCGAGCGGCGGACGGGUGAGUAAUGCCUAGGAAAUUGCCCUGAUGUGGGGGAUAACCAUUGGAAACGAUGGCUAAUACCGCAUGAUGCCUACGGGCCAAAGAGGGGGACCUUCGGGCCUCUCGCGUCAGGAUAUGCCUAGGUGGGAUUAGCUAGUUGGUGAGGUAAUGGCUCACCAAGGCGACGAUCCCUAGCUGGUCUGAGAGGAUGAUCAGCCACACUGGAACUGAGACACGGUCCAGACUCCUACGGGAGGCAGCAGUGGGGAAUAUUGCACAAUGGGCGCAAGCCUGAUGCAGCCAUGCCGCGUGUGUGAAGAAGGCCUUCGGGUUGUAAAGCACUUUCAGUCGUGAGGAAGGUGGUGUAGUUAAUAGCUGCAUUAUUUGACGUUAGCGACAGAAGAAGCACCGGCUAACUCCGUGCCAGCAGCCGCGGUAAUACGGAGGGUGCGAGCGUUAAUCGGAAUUACUGGGCGUAAAGCGCAUGCAGGUGGUUUGUUAAGUCAGAUGUGAAAGCCCGGGGCUCAACCUCGGAAUAGCAUUUGAAACUGGCAGACUAGAGUACUGUAGAGGGGGGUAGAAUUUCAGGUGUAGCGGUGAAAUGCGUAGAGAUCUGAAGGAAUACCGGUGGCGAAGGCGGCCCCCUGGACAGAUACUGACACUCAGAUGCGAAAGCGUGGGGAGCAAACAGGAUUAGAUACCCUGGUAGUCCACGCCGUAAACGAUGUCUACUUGGAGGUUGUGGCCUUGAGCCGUGGCUUUCGGAGCUAACGCGUUAAGUAGACCGCCUGGGGAGUACGGUCGCAAGAUUAAAACUCAAAUGAAUUGACGGGGGCCCGCACAAGCGGUGGAGCAUGUGGUUUAAUUCGAUGCAACGCGAAGAACCUUACCUACUCUUGACAUCCAGAGAACUUUUCAGAGAUGAAUUGGUGCCUUCGGGAACUCUGAGACAGGUGCUGCAUGGCUGUCGUCAGCUCGUGUUGUGAAAUGUUGGGUUAAGUCCCGCAACGAGCGCAACCCUUAUCCUUGUUUGCCAGCGAGUAAUGUCGGGAACUCCAGGGAGACUGCCGGUGAUAAACCGGAGGAAGGUGGGGACGACGUCAAGUCAUCAUGGCCCUUACGAGUAGGGCUACACACGUGCUACAAUGGCGCAUACAGAGGGCAGCAAGCUAGCGAUAGUGAGCGAAUCCCAAAAAGUGCGUCGUAGUCCGGAUUGGAGUCUGCAACUCGACUCCAUGAAGUCGGAAUCGCUAGUAAUCGUGGAUCAGAAUGCCACGGUGAAUACGUUCCCGGGCCUUGUACACACCGCCCGUCACACCAUGGGAGUGGGCUGCAAAAGAAGUAGGUAGUUUAACCUUCGGGAGGACGCUUACCAUCGAUGUUAUAGGUG
rnacentral:rRNA from 1 species